rnacentral:rRNA from 1 species
AGCGUAGACGGCUUAGCAAGUCUGAAGUGAAAGCCCGGGGCUCAACCCCGGGACUGCUUUGGAAACUGUUAAGCUGGAGUGCUGGAGAGGUAAGCGGAAUUCCUAGUGUAGCGGUGAAAUGCGUAGAUAUUAGGAGGAACACCAGUGACGAAGGCGGCCUACUGGGCACCAACUGACGCUGAGGCUCGAAAGUGUGGGUAGCAAACA